UUUCCGUAGGUGAACCUGCGGAAGGAUCAUUACCGUUGGGGCUCCGGGCCCGACCUCCAACCCUUUUGUGAACCACCUCGUUGCUUCGGGGGCGACCCUGCCGUUCGCGGCGUGGGGCCCCCGGAGGCUCAUCAAACACUGCAUCUUUGCGUCGGAGUCUUAAUGAAUUUAAACAAAACUUUUAACAACGGAUCUCUUGGUUCUGGCAUCGAUGAAGAACGCAGC
rnacentral:misc_RNA from 1 species